CCUACGGGCGGCUGCAGUGGGGAAUAUUGGACAAUGGGGGCAACCCUGAUCCAGCCAUGCCGCGUGUGUGAAGAAGGCCCUCGGGUUGUAAAGCACUUUCAGUGAGGAAGAACGCCUGGUGGUUAAUACCCAUCAGGAAAGACAUCACUCACAGAAGAAGCACCGGCUAACUCCGUGUCAGCAGCCGCGGUAAUACGGAGGGUGCGAGCGUUAAUCGGAAUUACUGGGCGUAAAGCGCGCGUAGGUGGCUUGAUAAGCCGGUUGUGAAAGCCCCGGGCUCAACCUGGGAACGGCAUCCGGAACUGUCAAGCUAGAGUGCAGGAGAGGAAGGUAGAAUUCCCGGUGUAGCGGUGAAAUGCGUAGAGAUCGGGAGGAAUACCAGUGGCGAAGGCGGCCUUCUGGACUGACACUGACACUGAGGUGCGAAAGCGUGGGUAGCAAACAGGAUUAGAUACCCGUGUAGUC
rnacentral:rRNA from 1 species